GCAUGUGACAUGCUAACCAUUCCAGCCGAGCGAGACCCAGUGCCUGCUGGGUGGAGGAGCUGAAGGUGUAGCCGGCCACGGAGACGUGCAGUCAUCCCAGCGCCAGGUGUGCAGGGACAGGGCGGGGCGCCGCCAGGCAGCGGUGACUUCUGCCCGGGGGUGUGCUGGGAAGCCCCGGGCGAGAGCGAGCUCCCGGACGGUUCCCAGAACCAGGAGUCAGCCCGGUCCUCCCUGUCGAGUGGACGUCAGUGGCUGGACAGGGAGGAAGUCAGAGUCCAAGUGGGAAGAUCCAACAGCCAAGGGACCUGAGAGAAUGUGGCGGGACCGGGAAAUGAAUUUGCAUGUCAGAUUGGAGCCAAGAUGGCGGUUUUCACGGUGCCCGCCCUCGCCGGCUUCUGCUCGGGCGUCGUGGCGUGGAUUGGCUAGGGGUGCCCGUGAUUAUGCUCUGCGUUGCUCUAAACAUCAGAACUACCUUGCAGGUAAUCGUGAGUCAAGAGGCCCUGCACCGAAGGCACCCGGCAGCAGCCAGAUGUUCAUUUUAAUAAAUGGAAACUAUGACUCAGAACCGGAGCCAACCUGACCCUCCAGGCAGGCAAAUUAAGCCGUGGACUGACGUCUCCGUCUCUGGAUUGUAGAGAAUGUGGGAGCAGGGGGCCCAGGCUCAGCCAGUUUCAUUUAUUUCUUCUCA